rnacentral:rRNA from 1 species
GACGAACGCUGGCGGCGUGCCUAAUACAUGCAAGUCGAGCGGACUGAUUAAGAGCUUGCUCUUAUGACGUUAGCGGCGGACGGGUGAGUAACACGUGGGCAACCUGCCCUGUAGAUCGGGAUAACACCGAGAAAUCGGUGCUAAUACCGGGUAAUAUCUGAGAUCACAUGAUCUUAGGUUAAAAGAUGGCUCCGGCUAUCACUACAGGAUGGGCCCGCGGCGCAUUAGCUAGUUGGUAAGGUAAUGUCUUACCAAGGCGACGAUGCGUAGCCGACCUGAGAGGGUGAUCGGCCACACUGGGACUGAGACACGGCCCAGACUCCUACGGGAGGCAGCAGUAGGGAAUCUUCCGCAAUGGACGAAAGUCUGACGGAGCAACGCCGCGUGAGUGAUGAAGGGGUGCGGCUCGUAAAGCUCUGUUGUUAGGGAAGAAACAGUACCGAACGAACUAGGUCGGUACCUUGACGGUACCUAACCAGAAAGCCACGGCUAACUACGUG